rnacentral:misc_RNA from 1 species
CUGCUCUAAGACAUUGUAGUAUUCUGCAAACUUUCUGUCUGCAGAAUAGAGAUCCUCUUGCAGAGCAGCUUCUUCCCUUUCAAUUUCCUCAAUUAUCAACUUAACCCUCUCUGGAAGCCGAGCAGUUGAAUUUUGGCUACCAGAUGAUGAGUCAAUAUCAUCAACAAAAGCAUCUGCUAACUUGUCACAUUUAUCCUUUAAACGAGCCUCAAUCUCAUGGGAAAGAGACAUCUGGUACUCAGCAGUGUCCAUUAUUAAUGGCAUUUGCUGGAGCUGAGUUUGCCAUAAAUAAGUAGGUGUUAUACCAAGAAAACGAUUGGGAACACCACCAACUCCAGGUUCAGCUGAAUCAGGAGCACCAAGAGAAAGGGCAUUAUUUGUUGCGCCUGCAGUGCUGUUUGCAGAACUAUUUGCAUAAUUUAGUGAAUUAGAGCUUGAGCUGAUAGUUACACUGGUACUUGUACUAUCAAGGGAGCUUCGUGACAUUAUACUCCAUUUUUCAAUUUCCUCCUCAUGGAUUUCACCAUCCUUUGAUAUAAGAGGAAGUCUCAAUUUCUGAGCUGCUUCAGCAACAACUAAACGAUGCUCUAGAAUCUCAUAAACCUGAGAAGAGUUUUUCAAGCUAAGUUGUGGGUAUAACCCCUGGAUAUCUCGAAUGCCUCCAAGAUUAGCCACCGAAACAGCUUGCUGAUACUCUUCCACCAUAGCAAUCGCUUCGCAGUAAAUAGCC